GCGUAUUCACCUUUUCUGAGGUGGGCAGCCAUUAUUUUGUGUAAAGUCCGAGACACAAAUGACUUUGAUGAUCGUAUGUGACCACGUUUGUUGACUCGGGAUGUCGGCCAGAAACUCGAAUUGAGUUUGAGUUGCUGGCUCUUGAUGAACGUCCACCGUUGCUAUUCCAAGACGGUGUGAGCAGACGCUGGUGUUAUGAGACGU
rnacentral:snoRNA from 1 species